UGCGUAGGUGGUGAGGUAAGUCGGAUGUGAAAGCUCGGAGCUCAACUCCGAAAUGGCAUUGGAAACUACCUUGCUUGAGGAUUGGAGGGGGGACUGGAAUACUUGGUGUAGCAGUGAAAUGCGUAGAUAUCAAGUGGAACACCAGUGGCGAAGGCGAGUCCCUGGACAAUUCCUGACACUGAGGCACGAAAGCUAGGGGAGCAAACAG
rnacentral:rRNA from 1 species